GCGCCCCCUCUGCCUCGUCUCCUCCCUGCUCCCUCCUCUCCCACGACGCCGCCCUCGAGCCCACGCCGCCUCCACCUCGUCUCAUCCCCGCUCCCUCCUCUACAACGCCGCCGCCCUCGAUGCGCCAUAAGGGACGCUAUUGACACGUCGGGGAUACGCAGCGACGAAGCUCAGCCGGAGCACAUCAGUAACCCACUCCUAACCCUAUUCGCUCGAUUGAUAAGAGAAGGGCAACGGAUUGGAUCGAGGGCGCCCUGGCCUCGCCGCCGCUGCACCUGGAUUCGGUAGCCGCUGCUUGGAGUCGCCCUGGCUACCACGUCGAGUCACCUCCGUCGCCGCCGCGAGUCAGCUCCACCGUUGCCGCCAGGAAUCCCUUCCCGACAAGGCAAGAGGAGAUGAAAAAGGGUUGUAACCUGUAAGGUUGUACUUUGGUGCGUCUCUGGGCAAUGAUGGCUGGAUCCAUCUGACGCUCUUCCAAGCAGAGUAGUGCAGAUUUGCUGACUGGUACAACAUCUAAACCUUGGCUACUCUAGCUUCUUUUCACAUCUCUUAGUAUCAACAAAUAAGUUCGUUAUAGUAUAUACUUGAAGAUUGCAGCAGGCACAAAAUGCUUGGCUAACCAGCCGGUUACUUGAGUUGUGCCUACGAAGGAUCAGUAGAGUAGUUGGUUUUUUCUAAAAUAAAUGAGGAUUAGUUUGGUUGCCAUGUAACGGUAAGGCCAGAAUGGUGGUACUGAGAAGUGGUUCUGUAAUGGUCAUAUGAGUUGUGGAGUUGGAACUUGAUUCUUUUUAAGUUGGAGUGGCUAGGUUGUCUAUAUGUAUUGCAUUAUUUUUCUACGACAUGCUGUUCUUUCUAAUGAUUUAUUUUAAAGUUUAGUAUUUAAAUUUACGGCAUUAUUCUGCGGCAUACUGUUCUUUCUACAACAUACUGUUAAUAUCUUAUGCUUUUCAACAUUACACGGUUAAAACCUUCUGUAUAAGAUCUUGCGCUUUCAACAUCUGCUCAUGGUGCUGUGCGUAUUCUGCUAUGAACUGUUUACAUUAUAGAGAGUUGUGGUACCUACAUUUGUACAAUUCCGUUUAGCUGAUGUUGGUUGCUCAUACUGACAAAAGGUGCGUUAACAAAUGAUCGCAGAGCAGCGGAGAAACGUGUUUCUACAAAUGUGCCAAAACUGAUGGAUUUAACUACAGGUAUUGCACUAUUAUUCUACAGGUAUUAUUGUAUUUCAUUAUCCAACUGUAAGUCUGUUCUAAACUCUAAGCCUGAUGUAAAUCUGAUGGAAGAUUGGGCCAUUUAAUUGGAACCAAAAGGGUGAUAUGCUCUCAGUUGCUUGAAUCUGUCCAGACCUGAAAAUUAGAUAUACUUUGAAAGCUUGAUGUAUGAGUAGGAGAUAGUUGAUAAAGGUGUACUCUUGUAGGAUAUUAUUAGUUGAUUACCUGCUUCUAUGUGGUGAACAAAUGAGUAAGCAGUUUUAGUUGAUAAAGGUGUAGGCAACACACCAUUUUUGCUCCAGUUUUUGGUUUGUAAGUCAAGGAUGUUUAGCCUUUCCUGAAUAUGUUAAUUGUGAAACAGUUUUGAUGCAAUUUUUGAACCGUUCAGUCUGUUUUGUUUGUGCAGUUCAUGAUACCACAUCUGCAGGCUACAUCUUGUGUAGAUUUGGCUACCACAUUAUAUGAUGAUGUUUCACUUUGCGCACUCAAGGUUUCAGUAAAAAAUUGAAUUGAACAUAUUUUUGUAGACAUACAAAAAUGGUCUGCAUUUUUUACAUCGCCCUGAGAUCCAAUUCAAACUAUAUUUUCUGCCUAGACUAUUGUGUACCUAUGAGAUCAUGUGAUAACUCAGACAUGAGCCGGUGUCGAGUGUGCAGUUGGGUGCUUAUUUGGUGACAUCCAGUGCUAACUGUUUUUUUAAGGCCACCCAGUGGAGCGAGGGUGAGUAAUGUGGCAUCAGCCUAUUCUGGACCUGUGUAUUAUACUCCUUCCGAUCAAAAUUAAGUGUCAUGGUUUUAUUCAAAAACCACGACACUUAUUUCGGAUCGGAGGGAGAGCAUUUAAGAGAUUCCUUGCAUACGCAUGAUUCAGAAAAGUACAGUGUGGGAUGCCAUUAUAAACUCACGAAGUCUGAUCCUGAUAGUGACAUGAUUUACUCUGUUUGAUGAAACAGGUCGAAGCCAAAGCUGUUCUUAUUGAAUCUCAUGAUGCCCUUGAUGCUUGCUGCUGUAAGCAAGGAAAUUGAGUACAAGUUUCAACGUCAACCUGAAUUUUUAUUGUGGAUGUUUGAGAGUUAACCUGAAUUUUGAAAAAAGCUUUUAGGAUGAUUAGCUGUAGUACUGUGACAAAUAAUCAGGAAAGAUCAUUUUGUAGGAUGAUCAUAAUAUUUCAUAAUAAUAUUAUAGCCGCCGGCCGAACAAUGAAGGUUGCACUACAACUACUCGACUACAAGUUUUAUGUGGAGUUUCUCUGUA